rnacentral:rRNA from 1 species
AUAGCCUACCAAGGCUUCGAUCAGUAGCUGGUCUGAGAGGACGACCAGCCACACUGGAACUGAGACACGGUCCAGACUCCUACGGGAGGCAGCAGUGGGGAAUUUUGGACAAUGGGCGCAAGCCUGAUCCAGCCAUUCCGCGUGAGUGAAGAAGGCCUUCGGGUUGUAAAGCUCUUUCGCAAGGGAAGAAAACUUACUUUCUAAUAAAGAGUGAGGCUGACGGUACCUUGAGAAGAAGCACCGGCUAACUACGUGCCAGCAGCCGCGGUAAUACGUAGGGUGCGAGCGUUAAUCGGAAUUACUGGGCGUAAAGCGUGCGCAGGCGGUUUGGCAAGUCAGAUGUGAAAUCCCCGAGCUCAACUUGGGAACUGCGUUUGAAACUGCCAGACUAGAGUAUGUCAGAGGGGGGUAGAAUUCCACGUGUAGCAGUGAAAUGCGUAGAGAUGUGGAGGAAUACCAAUGGCGAAGGCAGCCCCCUGGGAUAAUACUGACGCUCA